rfam:Erinaceus europaeus unplaced genomic scaffold scaffold00629, whole genome shotgun sequence
AUGUGUGUUACCUUACUCCAGAAAGUGUCAAUCAUUUUUAUCUAUAUGUGAUUGACACUUCUGUGGGUAAAGUGACGUAUAU